rnacentral:rRNA from 1 species
AUGAAGAACGCAGCGAAAUGCGAUACGUAGUGUGAAUUGCAGAAUUCCGCGAAUCAUCGAGUCUUUGAACGCAAGUUGCGCCCGAGGCUUGUCCAAGGGCAUUUCCGCUAGAGCGUCACC